GACGAACGCUGGCGGCGUGCUUAACACAUGCAAGUCGAACGGAAAGGCCCUGCUUUUGUGGGGUGCUCGAGUGGCGAACGGGUGAGUAACACGCGAGUAACCUGCCCUUGACUUUGGGAUAACUUCAGGAAACUGGGGCUAAUACCGGAUAGGAGCUCCUGCUGCAUGGUGGGGGUUGGAAAGUUUCGGCGGUUGGGGAUGGACUCGCGGCUUAUCAGCUUGUUGGUGGGGUAGUGGCUUACCAAGGCUUUGACGGGUAGCCGGCCUGAGAGGGUGACCGGCCACAUUGGGACUGAGAUACGGCCCAGAGUCCUACGGGAGGCAGCAGUGGGGAAUAUUGCACAAUGGGCGGAAGCCUGAUGCAGCAACGCCGCGUGCGGGAUGACGGCCUUCGGGUUGUAAACCGCUUUCGCCUGUGACGAAGCGUGAGUGACGGUAAUGGGUAAAGAAGCACCGGCUAACUACGUG
rnacentral:rRNA from 1 species